rnacentral:ncRNA from 1 species
AAAGGUUUAGUCCUAACCUUACCGUUAGUUCUUGCUAGAUAUAUACAUGCAAGCAUCCGCGCUCCAGUGAAAAUGCCCACAAGUCCUUGCCAAAGGCGCAAGGAGCAGGCAUCAGGCACACAAACAUGUAGCCCAAGACGCCUUGCUCAGCCACACCCCCACGGGUACUCAGCAGUAAUUAACAUUGAGCUAUGAGCGAAAGCUUGACUCAGUUAUAGCAACGCAGGGCCGGUAAAUCUUGUGCCAGCCACCGCGGUCACACAAGAGACCCAAACUAAUCGCACACGGCGUAAAGAGUGGUGUUACACUAUCAUAGCAACUAGGGACAAAGUGUCACUAAGCUGUCAUAAGCCCAAGUCACAUACAAGCCCACCUAUCAAGAUGACCCUAAUACCCACGACCAACUAAACUCCACGAAAGCCAGGGCCCAAACUGGGAUUAGAUACCCCACUAUGCCUGGCCCUAAAUUUUGAUGCUUACCGUACCUAAAGCAUCCGCCCGAGGACUACGAGCACAAACGCUUAAAACUCUAAGGACUUGGCGGUGCCCCAAACCCACCUAGAGGAGCCUGUUCUAUAAUCGAUACUCCACGAUACACCCAACCCCUCCUUGCCAAAGCAGCCUACAUACCGCCGUCGUCAGCCCACCUCCCCUGAGAGCAUAACAGUGAGCCCAAUAGCCCCCACUCCGCUAACAAGACAGGUCAAGGUAUAGCCCAUGGAGGGGAAGAAAUGGGCUACAUUUCCUAGAAUAGAAAACCACCACGAAAAGGGGCAUGAAACUCCCCUGGAAGGCGGAUUUAGCAGUAAAGCGGGACGAGAGAGCCCCCUUUAAACCGGCCCUGGGGCACGUACAUACCGCCCGUCACCCUCCUCGCAAGCUUCCCACACCCCCAUAAAUAAUAUGCCCCCUAGCUAAAGAUGAGGUAAGUCGUAACAAGGUAAGUGUACCGGAAGGUGCACUUAGCAUAU